GGCCCCCUGUUGAUUGGAAAAUGUUAGUAUGGGGGGUCCGGCCUGCCCGGUGACAUGAGAGUGUUUAACGGCCGCGGUAUUUUAACUGUGCGAAGGUAGCAUAAUCAUUUGCCUAUUUAUUGUAGGCUGGUAUGAAUGGCUAGACGAGGGCCCUACUGUCUUUUUGCGAUAUAUCUAGAAAUUAUUUUCUAAGUGAAGAUUCUUAGAUGGGGCUGAGGGACGAUAAGACCCUAUCGAGCUUUAGUGGAGCUGUGGGCUCUGGGUGCAUUUUUGUAAUCAAGUGCUUGUGGUGAAUCUUUGGUUGGGGCGACCGAGAAGUAGAAGGAACCUUUUUUGUUUAGUGUGUGUUGUGCUGAUGGGCAGUAGAUCUGGCGUGGUGCAGAAGAAAGGGUAAGUUACCGUAGGGAUAACAGCGUAAUUUUUCUGGAGAGUUCUUAUUGAGAGAAGAGUUUGCGACCUCGAUGUUGGACUAAGGUGUCCUGGGGAUGUAGCAGUUCUCGAUGGUUAGUCUGUUCGACUAUUAAAACCUU
rnacentral:rRNA from 1 species